GCCCUGGGGCGCACCGGAAGUGACCCCUCCCCUCUCCGGGAAAUUCAAACUUUAUUUCCAGGAGUUUCACGGCGUGUCCCCCGAAGCCCAACGCAGGGCAGAUUCCCCAUGAAUCCCCUGGAUUCAUUUAUUCGCUGGAACGUCUACUCAACAUCUGCUACACGCAGAAGGCUGUCCCUUGAAUAAAAGCAGCUGUGUUUAUAGCUGAUGGCUCUCUGUGGCUUUCUCCUGGGCCGAAUGCUGCUAAGGAACAGAGACAACCUCCAUGUGGAUUACAGCCUUCUGGUUCCCUUCUUGUUUUCUGGAACAGGGGCUAGGAUGGGAUUGCACCAUCAGAUCCACAGUGUCAUCUUGUUCCUGUUCCUGUUCCUCCUCUAUGCACACGUCAACUUUCCUGUGGCAAUGCCCCACCUGUACCAGACUACCCACUGGAGGACUGAAUGAGACUCUUGAGUCACCAUUGAUCAUAUAUGACUUAAACAAGUCAUUCUGUGUUGCCAUCAAUGGCUCUAGUUUUCUACACAUUCAAAUAUCACUUAUGUUCUAGAAAGAAAGAAAGAAAGAAAGAAAGAAAGAAAGAAAGAAAGAAAGAAAGAAAACCCAAGCAACCAUAAGAGCUGUCACAAAGACCAUGUAUUGUCAUCAGAACUCCAGAAUUUCAUGUGGAACUUACUGACUCUGAACUUCAGCAUGAUUCGAACUUUGUAAUCUGCUUCCUGGUCUAUACCAGAUUAGAAAAAACAAACUCGGGCAGGUAGAGGCAAGCAUACUAACCACAAAAAGAAAUCAUACCUGGGAUGCCUGGGUGGCUCAGUCGGUUGAGCGCCCGACUUCGGCUCAGGUCAUGAACUUGUGGUUCAUG